CCAGCAGCCGCGGUAAUUCCAGCUCCAGAAGCGUAUACUAACGUUGUUGCAGUUAAAAAGCUCGUAGUUGAAUUUGUUGUAGGAGCGACCUGGCCUUUUGGUGAAUGCCAAUUGUAUUUUGCUAAGUGUCUGUCUUCGGCAAUUUUUAGAAUUAGUAAUUCUUCUUUCACUGUAAAAAAAUUAGAGUGUUUCAAGCAAAACGUAGAUUUGGAAUAUAAUAGUAUGGAAUGAUAAGAUAGGACUCUUUUACUAUUUUGUUGGUUUGUAUAAGAGAGUAAUGAUUAAUAGGGACAAUUGGGGGUAUUCGUAUUCAGAUGUCAGAGGUGAAAUUCUUGGAUUUUCGGAAGACGAACAACUGCGAAGGCAUUUACCAAGGAUGUUUUCA
rnacentral:rRNA from 1 species